ensembl:lncRNA
CUUAAAGGGAAGAAUUCUUCAAGGGCAGAAAUAAAUGUUUGUGCAGACAAAUAUUGACCGAAUUAAAUAACCGCCUUUAUACCACCGUGCUAUUGAAUUCCCCAUUCUGAUUGGUCAGAAGUCGAUUGAUUUACUGUAAGAGCACUGAGAAGAAUUGUCUCUAACUGCAGGUUUACAUUUACGCAAUAACUCAAACAGGAGUGCUGUUUUACUAAAUAUCAACACACACAAAUGAGUGGACCGGAACUAACUAUUGUGUAAUAAACAUUUUAGUACCUUAUCGUUUCUGUAGUAACUCUGUAGUACAGUGUCUCACAGAACAACAUUAAAUAUACAGUAUAUAUGAAUAUACAGUAGUGCUUGGAGAAUUUUCUAUACUUCUGCAUAAAUAUGGCCUAAAACAUCAUCAGAUUUUCACACAAGUCAAACAACCCAGUUAAACAAAUGAGACAAAAAUAUUAUACUUGGUCAGUAUUACAUAUCUGUGAGGGGCAAAAGUAUGUGAACCUUUGCUUUGAAUGAAUAAAUGUGGAAUGCUAGAGGAUUCCUUUGAAAAGUAUUUUUCAGACAUCAGAAUUUUUUUUUUUUUUUUUUUUAAAUCACAUAUCCGGAUGCACAACCUACGGUCUCGUCCCUAUACAAGAAUCACUUUGCACAUUCUUUAACAGUAUAGUGCUUUGGAGAAACAAGGCCCAGCUAUGUUUUUUUUAUUUUUAUUUUUAUACCUGAUUAAGGUGAAAUGAAAUAGAUACCGACAGUAAACAGCUCUCAGUUCGGGUCCUGGCGGUCUCGUAAACAUACUUUUUUGGGUAUUUUUUUUUUUUAUUAUCCAGAGUUCUAUGAUUCACUUGAUAAAGGGCUUGUUGGAUUUAGUGGCUCAGGCAUGUGAAAAUCUGAGUGCAUUGAAAACUGCUGCUUUUAUCCGUUUCUACUCGGUGACUAGCAAAAUAAUAAUAAUAAUAAUAAUGAAAAAGGAAUAAUUAAAGGGGUGAGAAAAGAGUAUGGCUGCUCAGCUUCUUAUGGCAUGGUGAUCACGAAAGAAAAGAAAAAAAGGCAAUCUGUGCACUCUGCUACGUAAAUAUAAGGUGCUUUGGGUAUUUGUAUACUAUCUCUGAAAUGCAUUCAUGUUUUCAUUUGAUUUUUUUUUUUUUUUUUUUUUGUAAGCCAAUUAAAUACCUAUAUUUAUUUACUAGAGGUGUGCAUGUUUUCAUCAUUUUUUUCCAUGCUUGGUGUAGUUGAUGGACUAGUCAUCAAUCAAACCCCCCUUCUUUUUUUUUUGUGCCAUAGUUUUCCAUGAAUUCUCAUUUGGGAUCAGACCAGCCUACAAAUGCCUCACCUCGCUCAUGUGAAAGCAAAAAUGAGAUUUUUACUUGUGGCUGAAGCGGCAAGAUAUUCCCAUUUGCUUUGGGUAACGCUACAAAUGUAGGCCUACUUUAGGUUAUUUUUACGAAUCAGCCAUAUAUCCCCAUCACCAUCAACCGAUGCUAACGACGUAAACAUAACUUAGGGCAUUAAUAAGUAGAUAUGGCUAAAAGAUUGUGGACACCUGACCUGUACAUGGGCCGUCCCCAAACUUUUGCCACAAAUGUAGAGGCACCAUAUUGUAUAGGAUGUAUUCGUAUGCUGUACCAUUAGGAUUUCCCUUCACUGGAACUAAGAGAUACAAACCUGUUCCAGCAUGACGAUGCUCCUGUACACAAAUCGAGCUCCAUGAAGACGUGGUUUGUUAAGGGUGGACUGGAAGGACUCGAGUAUCCUGCACAGAACCCUGACCCUAACCUUAUUGAACACCUUUGGGAUGAACUGCACCCCAGACCUCCUCACCCGACAUCAGUACCUGAUCUCAC